GUGGGGAAUAUUGGACAAUGGGCGCAAGCCUGAUCCAGCAAUGCCGCGUGUGUGAAGAAGGUCUUCGGAUUGUAAAGCACUUUCGACGGGGACGAUGAUGACGGUACCCGUAGAAGAAGCCCCGGCUAACUUCGUGCCAGCAGCCGCGGUAAUACGAAGGGGGCUAGCGUUGCUCGGAAUAACUGGGCGUAAAGGGCGCGUAGGCGGUUUGGACAGUCAGAUGUGAAAUUCCUGGGCUUAACCUGGGGGCUGCAUUUGAUACGUACAGACUAGAGUGUGAGAGAGGGUUGUGGAAUUCCCAGUGUAGAGGUGAAAUUCGUAGAUAUUGGGAAGAACACCGGUGGCGAAGGCGGCAACCUGGCUCAUGACUGACGCUGAGGCGCGAAAGCGUGGGGAGCAAACAGGAUUAGAUACCCGUGUAGUCC
rnacentral:rRNA from 1 species